UCUUGCAGUAUGACAUUUGGUAACUGUUUUCUCCUGCGACCUGCAUUCUUUACAAUGAUAUGUUCGGUCAUAAUGCGUCGCAGGUCUUGGGGUACUCCAACCAGGGAAGAGAUCAAGUGCAUGAAUCCAACCCACACGGAGUUCAAGUUCCCACAGAUUAAGGCUCGCCCGUGUCACAAGGAGACCGAGCCAGAUGUGGUUGCAGAUUCUGGUGCUGAAUAUGGUCACAUAUUUGCAAGCACAAUCCGUGGCCAAAAUGGUCUGCCUAAACAGGUAAAGGCAACUGGCAAAGACAGAGUUAUUGUUUCUGCCGGUACUGCUGGCCUUCUGUGGACUACUUGGAAAACAAGAAAUCGAUCUUGUUUCCAAGGUGUAUUCCAUGGAGAUCCUACUUAUGUUUUUUUGUGCUCUCUGCUGGAUUUGUGGCCUGUCCUGUAAAAAAGAGGGGUGCAGGUGCCAAACAUGCCGCAUCAGGUGUCUAGGAAGCUUAACCAAGUCAAGUGAGAGCUGAAUAUCUCCUACAUUUUCUCAAGAUAUUACAUAGCACCAGAACAAAUUUGGUGCAACUGAAUAUACCGCUGCCAUUUGAUUUGUUGUGGUUUUCUUCACGGCAGACUGAAUAUCUGCUGUGUCAUGGCAGAGCUGCUUCUCGGACAGCCUCUUUUUCCUGGAGAAAGUGGAGUUGAUCAGCCGGUUGAGCUUAUCAAGGUCUUGGGUACUCCAACAAGGGAAGAGAUCAAGUGCAUGAAUACAAACUACACGAAGUUCAAGUUCUCCCGAACUAAGACUCGUCCGUGGCACAAGGUAAUGUGCAUGUAUUGUGUUUGUCAUGCAAAAUUGCCUGGUCUGCACAAUUGCUGUUCUAGUUGGCGCAUACUUUCGGAACAGGGAGAGCUUUACCGUUGACUAGGGUGCUGAUAAACUGCGAGAAAAUUCUCGAAACAGGCUUUCGCCCCACUUUAUAUAUAAAACAACAACACGGUACAAUACAUGGCCGAACGAUACAAUGUGGUGAGAAGGCCCUCUUACAAAGCAGAUAGAAAGAUAUAACAAGAAGCCUAUAGCUAGCCUAACGCCUCACCUAGGACCGACCGACGACAUCAAAACUCCAUGGCAACACCCCCAGGAGGGUGACGGCGCAAUGCGUUGGCGCUGCCGAGUCUGAGUACAAACAAGGGUUUUCACCCGGAGGCCUGGCACAUGAACAAGACCCACGACUACGUCUUCAAGAAGAUAACGACACCGGCGGGCGCCGCCGGUGCUGGCGCCAAGUGCGAAGCUUUCGUUCAGGAACUCGCCAAUCUCACUAGGAGGUGCCCUGGUCACCACCACAACGAGAGUCAGGCCAACCCCACCAGAUUUGGGCACCAACAGAGGAGGCUAGAGCCUUCUGCCACCCUUGCCGCCCACACGGCCAAGAGGUGAAGGCAUCACUGCCACCAUGGAGCCUGCCGGAAAGCCCACCGUGGAUCCCGCCAACCGGGGCCGCUGCCCCGACAUCCUCAGACAACUCAACACCGACGCCAAAACACGUGUCCGCCACCCCAACCAAGCCACGAGCCUCCACCUCGACAUGGACAGAGAGGGCCCGGAGCACGCGCAGGAGAGCAACCAGCCCUAGCAGAAGGACCAAGUUCAACCGCUGCUCCGGCGGCCAACCGCGUCACUUGCCAAUUGCCAACUACUCCCUCCGUUUCAAAUUACUCGUCACAGAAAUGAAUGUAUCUAAAACUAAAAUACAUCUAGAUACAUCCAUUUCUGCGACAAGUAAUUUGAAACGGAGGGAGUAGUACUACCGGGAGAGGAGGGCGUCUUCCCAUUAGAAAUGGACACUCUAGAUCCAGACAGGGGGGGGGGCAUGGCAACCGGCACCUCCGGCUGCCAAGCACCCAAUUCCAUCGGAUCCCCGUGACUCGCUCCGCGCCCUUUGCACCACCGCUCCAAUCUACAACAACCUGUCGCCACGCGCCUGCAGUCGAAGAUCGUCACCGCUACCCGAUGUCACCGGGCAGGCACCCCCACCCCCACCCCCACCCUGGAGGGAGCAUGGAGGAGGCCGCCGACCUUGAGAAAAUCAAGGCUCAUCAAUUUAGAGUUUCUCAGUUUUUUUAGUAGACGAGUUUCUCAGAUAAUCCGGCCAAAAAAAGCAUUCCUCAAAUACUUUUGACAAAAAGGAAAAUAAGUUACAACGAAUGAUGCAACGAAAAGGAAACGAAAAAGCCACACGAGAUAGAUGUUUCUCAGAUGGGCCAGACUCUGUGUAUCCAGCAGGCAGGAGCCCAACCUCACGGGCCAGCAGCCCAGCACCCACGAGUCAGCCCUUCUAAGCUCCCAUCGAGGGCGUUGCUGCGCAGCUGCACGCUUAACAUUAGUCCCACCUCGCCAGUUUGCGGGGAGCGGAACCAGCUUAUAAGCCGAGGCGCGGCACAAGGUAGCACGACCUUACUUGAACAGGAUCUGUUCUAUAGGCUCGUACCGCUGCAUCCUUUACCAAUAAGGAGGCAAGCACUUCAGUCUGGUUGAUGUAUUCUGACCUCUGGGCCAGAGAGUGAUUAACGGCCAGGAUUCUCUGAUGGGGCAAUCCGACGGCUAUAGAGGAUCGUUCCUGUCAGGCUCACACCUGUGCAGGGGGUGGCCCAGAGGUUGUCUGACAGACUACAAAUCUUUU